rnacentral:rRNA from 1 species
AAAUUGAAGAGUUUGAUCAUGGCUCAGAUUGAACGCUGGCGGCAGGCCUAACACAUGCAAGUCGAACGGUAGCAG